rnacentral:rRNA from 1 species
AGUGAACGCUGGCGGUAGGCCUAACACAUGCAAGUCGAACGGCAGCACAGUAAGAGCUUGCUCUUACGGGUGGCGAGUGGCGGACGGGUGAGGAAUACAUCGGAAUCUACUUUUUCGCGGGGGAUAACGUAGGGAAACUUACGCUAAUACCGCAUACGACCUACGGUUGAAAGCAGGGGAUCUUCGGACCUUGCGCGAUUGAAUGAGCCGAUGUCGGAUUAGCUAGUUGGCGGGGUAAAGGCCCACCAAGGCGACGAUCCGUAGCUGGUCUGAGAGGAUGAUCAGCCACACUGGAACUGAGACACGGUCCAGACUCCUACGGGAGGCAGCAGUGGGGAAUAUUGGACAAUGGGCGCAAGCCUGAUCCAGCCAUACCGCGUGGGUGAAGAAGGCCUUCGGGUUGUAAAGCCCUUUUGUUGGGAAAGAAAAGCAGCAGGUUAAUACCCCGCUGUUCUGACGGUACCCAAAGAAUAAGCACCGGCUAACUUCGUG